CCUACGGGAGGCAGCAGUGAGGAAUAUUGGUCAAUGGGCGCGAGCCUGAACCAGCCAAGUAGCGUGAAGGAUGACGGCCCUACGGGUUGUAAACUUCUUUUAUAAAGGAAUAAAGUGAGGCACGUGUGCCUUUUUGUAUGUACGUUAUGAAUAAGGAUCGGCUAACUCCGUGCCAGCAGCCGCGGUAAUACGGAGGAUCCGAGCGUUAUCCGGAUUUAUUGGGUUUAAAGGGAGCGUAGAUGGGGUGUUAAGGAAUUGGUGAAAGUUUGCGGCUCCACCGUAGAAUUGCAAUUGUUACGGGCAGCCUUGAGUACAGUUGACGUAGGCGGAAUUCGUUGUGUCGCGGUUAAAUGCUUCGCUCUCACGAAGAACUCCGCUUGCGACGGCAGCUUACUAAACUGCCACUGACAUUGAUGCUCGACAGUGUGGGUAUCAAACAGGAUUAGAUACCCGAGUAGUC
rnacentral:rRNA from 1 species